GAUUAAUUAGUUUAUAUAAAACCAGCGUUUUGAAAAUGCUUUAAAAGAGAUAUUAAUCGAAUUAUAUA
rnacentral:tRNA from 1 species